GACGAACGCUGGCGGCGUGCUUAACACAUGCAAGUCGAACGGAAAGGCCCUGCUUUUGUGGGGUGCUCGAGUGGCGAACGGGUGAGUAACACGUGAGUAACCUGCCCUUGACUUUGGGAUAACUUCAGGAAACUGGGGCUAAUACCGGAUAGGAGCUCCUGCUGCAUGGUGGGGGUUGGAACGUUUCGGCGGGUGGGGAUGGACUCGCGGCUUAUCAGCUUGUUGGUGGGGGAGUGGUUUACCAAGGCUUUGACGGGUAGCCGGCCUGAGAGGGUGACCGGCCACAUUGGGACUGAGAUACGGCCCAGACUCCUACGGGAGGCAGCAGUGGGGAAUAUUGCACAAUGGGCGGAAGCCUGAUGCAGCAACGCCGCGUGCGGGAUGACGGCCUUCGGGUUGUAAACCGCUUUCGCCUGUGACGAAGCGUGAGUGACGGUAAUGGGUAAAGAAGCACCGGCUAACUACGUG
rnacentral:rRNA from 1 species